UAUAAAAGUACAUUUUCAUAUUAUUUUUUAUCAUUUUUUUGUUAUUUAAAAUGUA
rnacentral:misc_RNA from 1 species